rnacentral:rRNA from 1 species
GACGAACGCUGGCGGCGUGCCUAAUACAUGCAAGUCGAACGAACAGAUGGGAGCUUGCUCCCUGAUGUUAGUGGCGGACGGGUGAGUAACACGUGGGUAACCUGUCUGUAAGAUUGGGAUAACUUCGGGAAACCGAAGCUAACACCGGAUAAUAUAUGAAACUGCAUGGUUUCAUAUUGAAAGAUGGCUUUUGCUAUCACUUACAGAUGGACCCGCGGCACAUUAGCUAGUUGGUGAGGUAACGGCUCACCAAGGCGACGAUGCGUAGCCGACCUGAGAGGGUGAUCGGCCACACUGGGACUGAGACACGGCCCAGACUCCUACGGGAGGCAGCAGUAGGGAAUCUUCCGCAAUGGACGAAAGUCUGACGGAGCAACGCCGCGUGAGCGAAGAAGGCCUUCGGGUCGUAAAGCUCUGUUGUUAGGGAAGAACAAGUACCGGAGUAACUGUCGGUACCUUGACGGUACCUAACGAGAAAGCCACGGCUAACUACGUGCCAGCCGCCGCGGUAACAC